UUGGGGCAAGAACAAAUAGGACCUGCUGAUGGAUUCGGUAUGGGGUGAGUGCAAUGAAGGGCACUGACCCUCAGGUAUGUGGCUUUGGAAACUGGAAGCCUGACGAGAUUGUGCGUCCGAGAAGUUGCUGUGACUUGCCCAAGGGUGCACAAGGUGUAGGUGGCAGAGCUGAGGUUGUUCUGACAACAAGGUGCAGUUCUUGCCUCUGCACAAGCUGGCUUCCUGGGUUGUGGCUCUUCUGGGGAGAGGGACCUUGGAGAGCGCCUGCCUUCGGGCGGGGGGAGAAUCUCCAUUGGACAAGAAAGAAUUUGGAGGUCAGGUGGUUUUCUGGAACCCACACAGCCAGGGAAGGGGAAGCAGGCAGGGGCUGCAGCCAGCUGCCUGGGGAGGGCAGGCACUCUCUGCUCCAUGCCACACAGAAAGAGUCCCCAAGGCCUUUGUGAAAAGCUCUUCCUGGCCCUUCUGUGAUAACCUGCUGUCCCCCACUGGGGUGGGGGGGAAGUGGUGGUGGAAGACUCUAAGGGGAGCAGCUCCUCUGUUCUUGGCAAAAGCUUGCCUCCGUGGUCAGCAUGAUGAAGCCAUCAAGCCGCUGGGCAGGAAGGGUGGGAGCUGGCGUUUCAAGCCCCACUGCUCACCCGAGGGAUGUGUGGAGUACUAACAGCUCACAUGGGGGGCGGGGAGCAGCCUGGUCACCUGCAGGAGCUUGCGAGGCCCGAGGGGUGUCUGUGUGGCCAGGCACCUGCCCCCGCUUUUCAUUUAUAAAACAGAGCGUGACCUGCAGAACUCACCGGGCUUCUCUGUGACGCAGCGCCCGGCGGUGGGCAAGCAGGGUGACCCCGUCCUCCAUCAUGGUCUCUUACUGUGACGCCGACCCUCGGUCCCCACGCUCGGCUCGCUGUAGAACGUGUCUUCUCUUCAGGUUGUCAUGACAAUCUUCACUGAGAAGCUGUUUCUGGAGAGGGAGCAUAAAAAGAAACAGGGAAAUGCUUAUUAAAGCCAGGCCUAGUGAAUCUGAGGGUUUCAGUGGUGUCAAUACAUUCUCAGUGGCUUCUGAAGAAAAAGUGGAAUUUCUGUCCUCUACACCAGCUGGCUGCCAGGAACUUUGCUGUUAUACAAUGCAUGAAGCCCGGAAUCCAUUACAUUAUCCUGAUUACAGUAAUAAUGAUAACAACAAUUAAAUGUGAGCCUUCAAAGGCAGGUCCCCUCUGGCAGAAUCCAUUAAGGAGAAUGGGUGUAAUUAUGCAGGCAGUGGAGGCACACGGCAAUUUUGGGGGUGGUCAGUGUCAUCCUGAUCACAAUCCCAUUCUCUACCCCUUCGUCACUGGCCAUCUGGCCUUCCAGUGUCUUCUCCCCAGAUCUCAGCCAUCUGCCCAUCAAUGUCUCACUAAUUAUUGCAAACAAAUCUGUGUAAAAUGAGAAGAAAGUAAAGGUUACCUUUCCCAUUUUACAGAUUAGUCAUUGAGUUCUUGAACAGUGAGGAAACCCAGGGGAAGUGACCCCUAGGUGAAUGUAUCUAUAAAAGGGCCAGACCCAGAGCUCUGUUUGGGCAAGCCAACAUGAAAAUUACAACAGCUUUCUGAACCCUGUCCAGAGGUUGACAAUGAGAGCAUAGAGCCUUCCUGCUAACAGCCAGCAUCAGCUCAUCAGCCACACAGUGGAUGCUGGGAGACGAUCCUCAGUCCUGAUCAAACCUUCAGAUGAGACCACAGCUCUGGCUGACAUCUGACUGCAACUUUGUGAGAGACCCUGAGCCAGAGCCCCCAGCCCAGCCACUCCUGAAUUUCUAGUCCACAGAAACUGUAAGAGAUGUAAAUAAAUUAUAAUUGCUGUUUUCAAGCCA